UGCAAGUCGAACGCAACCUUCGGGUUGAGUGGCGGACGGGUGAGUAACGCGUGAGAAUCUGCCUUGGGGUCGGGGACAACCACUGGAAACGGUGGCUAAUACCGGAUAAGCCUUUGGGUAAAAAAUUUAUUGCCCCAAGAGGAGCUCGCGUCUGAUUAGCUAGUUGGUGAGGUAAAAGCUCACCAAGGCAGCGAUCAGUAGCUGGUCUGAGAGGACGAUCAGCCACACUGGGACUGAGACACGGCCCAGACUCCUACGGGAGGCAGCAGUGGGGAAUUUUCCGCAAUGGGCGAAAGCCUGACGGAGCAAGACCGCGUGAGGGAGGAAGGCUCUUGGGUUGUAAACCUCUUUUCUCAGGGAAGAAGCUCUGACGGUACCUGAGGAAUCAGCCUCGGCUAACUCCGUGCCAGCAGCCGCGGUAAUACGGAGGAGGCAAGCGUUAUCCGGAAUUAUUGGGCGUAAAGCGUCCGCAGGUGGCGAUUCAAGUCUGCUGUCAAAGCACGGGGCUUAACUCCGUUAAGGCAGUGGAAACUGAAUAGCUAGAGUGCCGUAGGGGUAGAAGGGAAUUCCCGGUGUAGCGGUGAAAUGCGUAGAGAUCGGGAAGAACAUCGGUGGCGAAAGCGCUCUACUGGACGGCAACUGACACUCAGGGACGAAAGCUAGGGGAGCGAAUGGGAUUAGAUACCCCAGUAGUCCUAGCUGUAAACGAUGGAUACUAGGUGUAGCUUGUAUCGACCCGAGCUGUGCCGAAGCUAACGCGUUAAGUAUCCCGCCUGGGGAGUACGCACGCAAGUGUGAAACUCGAAGGAAUCGACGGGGGCCCGCACAAGCGGUGGAGUAUGUGGAAUAAUUCGAUGCAACGCGA
rnacentral:rRNA from 1 species